rnacentral:rRNA from 1 species
UACGUAGGGUGCAAGCGUUGUCCGGAAUUAUUGGGCGUAAAGAGCUCGUAGGCGGUCUGUUGCGUCGGCUGUGAAAACCCGGGGCUCAACCCCGGGCCUGCAGCCGAUACGGGCAGACUAGAGUUCGGCAGGGGAGAACGGAAUCCCUGGUGUAGCGGUGAAAUGCGCAGAUAUCAGGAGGAACACCGGUGGCGAAGGCGGUUCUCUGGGCAUGAUCUGACGCUGAGGAGCGAAAGUGUGGGGAGCGAACAGG